UACGGGGAGCAGCAGGCGCGAAACCUUUACACUGCGGGAAACCGCGAUAAGGGGACACUGAGUGCCAGCAUAUAAUGCUGGCUGUCCGUAUGUGUAAAAUACAUGCGUUAGCAAGGGCCGGGCAAGACCGGUGCCAGCCACCGCGGUAACACCGGCGGCCCGAGUGGUGAUCGCUAUUAUUGGGUCUAAAGGGUCCGUAGCCGGUUUGAUCAGUCCAUUGGGAAAUCUGGUGGCUUAACCGUCAGAAUUCCAAUGGAUACUGUCAGACUUGGGACCGGGAGAGGUAAGAGGUACUACAGGGGUAGGAGUGAAAUCUUGUAAUCCCUGUAGGACCACCAGUUGCGAAGGCGUCUUACCAGAACGGGUCCGACGGUGAGGGACGAAAGCUGGGGGCACGAACCGGAUUAGAUACCCGGGUAGUCCCAGCCGUAAACGAUGCUCGCUAGGUGUUAGGGAUGGUACGGCCGUUCCUAGUGCCGAAGGGAAGCCGUGAAGCGAGCCACCUGGGAAGUACGGCCGCAAGGCUGAAACUUAAAUGAAUUG
rnacentral:rRNA from 1 species